rnacentral:rRNA from 1 species
UUCCGGUUGAUCCUGCCGGAGGCGACCGCUAUUGGAGUUCGAUUAAGCCAUGCGAGUCGAGAGUCUUAGGGACUCGGCAUACUGCUCAGUAACACGUGGAUAACCUGCCCUAUGCAAGGGGAUAACCUCGAGAAAUUGAGAAUAAUACCCUAUAGGUCACCAUGCCUGGAACGGUUGGUGACUAAAAGUUCAGGCGGCAUAGGAUGGGUCUGCGGCGUAUCAGGUUGUAGUGGGUGUAAUGUACCUACUAGCCAUUGACGCGUACGGGUGUUGGGAGACAUAGCCCGGAGAUGGAUUCUGAGACACGAAUCCAGACCCUACGGGGUGCAGCAGGCGCGAAAACUUCACACUGCAGGAAACUGUGAUGAGGGAACUCCAAGUGGUGCGGCAAAAUGUCGCAUCUUUUCUUAACUUUUAACAGGUUUUGGAAUAAGGGCUGGGAAAGACCGGUGCCAGCCGCCGCGGUAAUACCGGCAGCUCAAGUGGUCGUCGCUUUUAUUGGGCCUAAAACGUCCGUAGCCUGUUUAGUAAAUCCGUGGGUAAAUCAACGAGCUUAACUCGUUGACUUCUGCGGACACUGCUAGACUUGGGACCGGGAGAGGUGUGGGGUACUCAUGGGGUAGGGGUAAAAUCCUGUCAUCCCAUGAGGACCACCAGUUGCGAAGGCGCCACACUAGAACGGAUCCGACGGUCAGGGACGAAGCCUAGGGGCACGAACCGGAUUAGAUACCCGGGUAGUCCUAGGUGUAAACGCUGUGGACUUGGUGUCGGGGAUCCUCUAAGGGUUUCCGGUGCCGCAGCGAAGGUGUUAAGUCCACUGCCUGGGGAGUACGGUCGCAAGGCUGAAACUUAAAGGAAUUGGCGGGGGAGCACUGCAACGGGAGGAGCGUGCGGUUUAAU